rnacentral:rRNA from 1 species
AACGAACGCUGGCGGCAGGCUUAACACAUGCAAGUCGAACGCCCCGCAAGGGGAGUGGCAGACGGGUGAGUAACGCGUGGGAAUCUACCCAUCCCUACGGAACAACUCCGGGAAACUGGAGCUAAUACCGUAUACGCCCUACGGGGGAAAGAUUUAUCGGGGAUGGAUGAGCCCGCGUUGGAUUAGCUAGUUGGUGGGGUAAAGGCCUACCAAGGCGACGAUCCAUAGCUGGUCUGAGAGGAUGAUCAGCCACAUUGGGACUGAGACACGGCCCAAACUCCUACGGGAGGCAGCAGUGGGGAAUAUUGGACAAUGGGCGCAAGCCUGAUCCAGCCAUGCCGCGUGAGUGAUGAAGGUCUUAGGAUUGUAAAGCUCUUUCACCGAUGAAGAUAAUGACGGUAGUCGGAGAAGAAGCCCCGGCUAACUUCGUGCCAGCAGCCGCAGUAAAAC